CUACGGGCGGCUGCAGUGAGGAAUAUUGGGCAAUGGAGGCAACUCUGACCCAGCCAUGCCGCGUGCAGGAAGACGGUUCUAUGAAUUGUAAACUGCUUUUAUUCAGGAAUAAAAUUAGCUACGUGUAGUUGACUGAAUGUACUGAAUGAAUAAGCACCGGCUAACUCCGUGCCAGCAGCCGCGGUAAUACGGAGGGUGCAAGCGUUAUCCGGAUUUAUUAGGUUUAAAGGGUCCGUAGGCGGGAUCUUAAGUCAGUGGUGAAAGCCUGCAGCUUAACUGUAGAACAGCCAUUGAUACUGGGAUUCUUGAAUUUGAUUGAGGUAGGCGGAAUGAGAAGUGUAGCGGUGAAAUGCGUAGAUAUUUCUCAGAACACCAAUUGCGAAGGCAGCUUACUAAGUCAAUAUUGACGCUGAUGGACGAAAGCGUGGGUAGCGAACAGGAUUAGAUACCCGGGUAGUC
rnacentral:rRNA from 1 species